rnacentral:rRNA from 1 species
GAUGAACGCUGGCGGCGUGCCUAAUACAUGCAAGUCGAGCGAACAGACGAGGAGCUUGCUCCUCUGACGUUAGCGGCGGACGGGUGAGUAACACGUGGAUAACCUACCUAUAAGACUGGGAUAACUUCGGGAAACCGGAGCUAAUACCGGAUAAUAUAUUGAACCGCAUGGUUCAAUAGUGAAAGACGGUUUUGCUGUCACUUAUAGAUGGAUCCGCGCCGCAUUAGCUAGUUGGUAAGGUAACGGCUUACCAAGGCGACGAUGCGUAGCCGACCUGAGAGGGUGAACCGCCAAAAUGGGACUGAGGCACGGUCCAGACUCCUACGGGAGGCAGCAGUAGGGAAUCUUCCGCAAUGGGCGAAAGCCUGACGGAGCAACGCCGCGUGAGUGAUGAAGGUCUUCGGAUCGUAAAACUCUGUUAUUAGGGAAGAACAAAUGUGUAAGUAACUAUGCACGUCUUGACGGUACCUAAUCAGAAAGCCACGGCUAACUACGUG